rnacentral:rRNA from 1 species
CAGUCAUGCUAGUGAAAAUUCAGUUUGGUGGGUUUUGGGUUCAGGAGUUGAGGCAGGGUCAAACCGUUUUUCUUUUGAACUUGGAAUUUGUCAGAUGCACUUUUUCUUUGGCAGGUCAGCGUCGAUUUCGGAGGUUGACGAAAUGACGUUAAACGACCCGUCUUGAAACACAGACCAAGGAGUCUAACAUAUGUGCGAGUG